AGUAAAUAGAGUAAAAAUUAACAAAUAAUGUUUUUAAACAAAAGAGUAUUAAUAUGGGAAAAUUAGUCAAAUGGUAUUCUUUUUUAUUAAUAAUAAAUGGGUUGAAAGAAUUUUUUUGAAACAUAAAUGGGUUGAAAGAAUUGUUACAAAGAAAUCAAAAUAAGGGAGGCAAGUGUAAUAUCAUAAACCACAAGGGAGGUGAGUGUUGUGAAGUCAAACAUGAGUGGAGGU
rnacentral:lncRNA from 1 species